GCUCGCCGAGAGACUUCCUCUUCGUUAAGUCGGCCUUCCCAACAUGGCGCAGUCUAUUAACAUCACGGAGCUGAAUCUGCCGCAGCUAGAAAUGCUCAAGAACCAGCUGGACCAGGAAGUGGAGUUCUUGUCCACGUCCAUUGCUCAGCUCAAAGUGGUACAGACCAAGUAUGUGGAAGCCAAGGACUGUCUGAACGUGCUGAACAAGAGCAACGAGGGUAUGGGGUAGGCGGGUGAGGGUAACCUAAAGUGGCGAACCUGCUUCUCUCGUCCCACCUCCUAACCCAGUUUUUCUUACCUGAAACGAGAAAAUCCAUUACAUAUCGUAUACCGCUUCAUGAACCCUUUGCAUGUUGCCUGCCUAGAAUUGAAAAGUACAGGACAUUCCUCUGCUCCUAUUGCCCCUGUUUCCGUUCUUUUCACACUGUCUGUGGGUGCUGUGCCCUGUUGGAACUCUCUUUAACGUCUUACGUUGGAGCCGCUAACCUUCCCCAGGUGUUUGUCUUCAUUGCUUUCACAGGGAAAGAAUUACUCGUCCCACUGACGAGUUCUAUGUAUGUCCCUGGGAAGCUGCAUGAUGUGGAACACGUGCUCAUCGAUGUGGGAACUGGGUACUAUGUAGAGAAGACAGCUGAGGAUGCCAAGGACUUCUUCAAGAGGAAGAUAGAUUUUCUAACCAAGCAGAUGGAGAAAAUCCAACCAGCUCUUCAGGAGAAGCACGCCAUGAAACAGGCCGUCAUGGAAAUGAUGAGUCAGAAGAUUCAGCAGCUCACAGCCCUGGGGGCAGCUCAGGCUACUGCUAAGGCCUGAGAGUUUUUGCAGAAAUGGGGCAGAGGGACACCCUUUGGGCGUGGCUUCCUGGUGAUGGGAAGGGUCUUGUGUUUUAAUGCCAAUAAAUGUGCCAGCUGGGCAGAAUGUUGGUCUUUUCUUGGAUUAAGCAAGGGACUGGUGAUGAGAUGGGGGGUGUGGUCGAGAGUGUGGGCCCCGUCUCAGAGCCUGAUGCGCAGGGGUGAUGCGAUGCGCCUCUUGGAGGCUCCAUCGCAGGGCCCUUUGACCAGCUGGAAGAAAUCCUAGGCUGGGAGUCUGCUGCUGCUCACUCUGCAGAGCUGGUUGCCAAGGGAACGGUUGGCAAGCGGAAGUGGGGCUGCGCUGGCGCUUCCUCUUCCGGGUCGGCGCUCCUGCCUCCCUGCAGGGAGCUGCUUAUGGGACACCAAUUCCUGCGCGGCCUCUUAACGCUGCUGCUGCCGCCGCCACCCCUGUAUACCCGGCACCGCAUGCUCGGUCCAGAGUCCGUCCCGCCCCCAAAACGAUCCCGCAGCAAACUCAUGGCACCGCCCCGAAUCGGGACGCACAAUGGCACCUUCCACUGCGACGAGGCACUGGCAUGCGCACUGCUUCGCCUCCUGCCGGAGUACCGGGAUGCAGAGAUUGUGCGGACCCGGGAUCCCGAAAAACUCGCUUCCUGUGACAUCGUGGUGGACGUGGGGGGCGAGUACGACCCUCGGAGACACCGAUAUGACCAUCACCAGAGGUCUUUCACAGAGACCAUGAGCUCCCUGUCCCCUGGGAAGCCGUGGCAGACCAAGCUGAGCAGUGCGGGACUCAUCUAUCUGCACUUCGGGCACAAGCUGCUGGCCCAGUUGCUGGGCACUAGUGAAGAGGACAGCAUGGUGGGCACCCUCUAUGACAAGGUGGGGACCUGAGGACAGAGAUGCCCCCCACAUGCAUUUCCAGCAGGCCGCCUGGGAGCAGUGCUCACACAGCACUCAGCACUGGGCCUCGGGUCAGGGUUCCUGGCCUAUAGCAGGCCCAACACUCAUCCUCUCCCUCAGUCAGGCUCAUCUCACAAGGGAAUGGUGAUACCUCCCCUGUCUACAUCCUGGGGUGGUUGUGAGAAGUGGAUGCUGUAAUAUAUGGGGAAGGGCUUUGAAAACCAUAAAGCAGCAUGGCCCCGUCUUUUUAUUGACACACACAAACAGCAAUUGCUCAGCACCUUUGGGUAAACAGAGGGGAGGCUGCUUAUGUGUGGAAGCAGAUGGCUCAGAGGUUCUGGCUGCCCUGAAGGUUGAGGGGAGUGUAUGUUAGGCACCACUGUAGUUCACUAGUGGCACAUAAAUUGGGAAGCUCAGCUGAGAAGAGUUUUAUUAUGAAACUGUCUUUGGAUUCCACCAGUGUCCCCUGCAAGCAGCUUCCUGCUCUUAGGGAAAGAAUAUGGCUAGUGGCCCUGGCAUGCAAGUCAGGUCGCACAGUACUGAGGACACUUACUUGUUUACAAGUCAAAGCCCAGGUUCAGUCAGCUGUAUUUCUUGCAGGUAGGCUGUUGAAUUCAGUUCUCAGUUUUUUUGUUGUUUUUUGUUUUGAGAUGGAGUCUUGCUCUGUCGCCCAGGCUGGAGUGCAGUGGCGCAAUCUUGGCUCACUGCAAGCUCCGCCUCCCGGGUUCACGCCAUUCUCCUGCCUCAGCCUCCCGAGUAGCUGGGACUACAGGCGCCCAUCACCAUGCCCGGCUAAUUUUUUGUAUUUUUAGUAGAGGUGGGGUUUCACCGUGUUAGCCAGGAUGGUCUUGAUCUCCUGACCUCGUGAUCUGCCCACCUCAGCCUCCCAAAGUGCUGGGAUUACAGGUCUGAGCCACUGCACCCGGCCCAUCAGUUCUCAGUUUUAGCUUGCCCAUUUUCUGCCCUCUGUAACUAUAGAGUUUUUGGAAUAUCAAGAUUUUAGACUGCCUGGGUCAGUUUUCCCUUCCACUGCUGAAGGGUUUCUAAACAACUGACUAAAUUUUUGUUGUUGUUUUUUUUUGUUUUUUUGAGACGGGGUCUUGCUCUGUCAUCCAGGCUGGAGUGCAGUGGCACAAUCUCAGCUCACUGCUACCUCCGCCUCCUGGGUUCAAGCGAUUCUCCUGCCUCAGCCUCCCAAGUAGGUGAGAUUACAGGCGCCUGCCACCACGCCUGGCUAAUUUUUUAUUUUUAGUAGAAACGGGGUUUCACCGUGUUAGCCAGGCUGGUCUCAAACUCCUGACCUCAAGUAACGCACCCACCUUGGCCUCCCAAAGUGCUGGGAUUACAGGCGUGAGCCACUAAUCCCAGCAACAAUUGACUAAAUUUAACCCGUAUUUUUUUUUGAGAGACUGUUGCCCAGGUUGGAGUCCAGUGGUGCCAUCAUGGCUUGCUGCUGCUUUGAACUCCUGGGCUCAAGCAGUCUUCCCACCUCAGCCCCCCAAGUAGCUGAGACUACAGGUGCAUGCCACCAUGCCUGGCUAAUUAUAUAUCUUAAUUUUUUUGUAGAGAGGGUCUUGCUAUGCUGCCCAGGCUGGACUCAAAAACUCCUGGGCUCAAGUGAUCCUCCCACCUCAGCCUAAACCCAUGUUUUUUUUUUUUUUUUUUUUUUUUUGAGACGGAGUCUCGCUCUGUCGCCCAGGCUGGAGUGCAGUGGCGGGAUCUCGGCUCACUGCAAGCUGCGCCUCCCAGGUUCACGCCAUUGUCCUGCCUCAGCCUCCCAAGUAGCUGGGACUACAGGCGCCCGCCACUACGCCCGGCUAAUUUUUUGUAUUUUUAGUAGAGACGGGGUUUCACCGUUUUAGCCGGGAUGGUCUCGAUCUCCUGACCUCGUGAUCCGCCCGCCUCGGCCUCCCAAAGUGCUGGGAUUACAGGCGUGAGCCACCGCGCCCGGCCUAAACCCAUGUUUUAACUGAGCAUCAGGUUGGGAUCCAAACCAAGAAGAGCUGGGCAUAGGAGUUACUUUCUCAGUGCUCUGAGAGUAGCACUUUUCUACAUACCACAGGUGUACUGUUAUGGAGGCCUAUUUUGUAGGGUAAUUUUGCAUAAAGUUUCUGCCCCGAGACUCUUGAGGCAUUAUCCUACCAUUUAUUCAGACCCAGGAGACAACUGCUGAUGUCAUGAGGCACAUUAUGGGCUUCCCUGGAACCCUAACCCAGCAACCAGCUUUUGGUGUCUAGUCUCACACUCAUUUUCUCCCACUUGACUUGUGUUCUCAACCAGAGCCGCUCCUGCACCUCAUUAACCGUGUCACUGAAUACCUACUCACCCCACCUGGAGAUUUACCAGCCUUCAGCCACAGGGACCCACUCCCACAGAGAGCCUCUAGCACCUAGAGACCUUCCUUGUUCAAAAGUUAGCAGUCCCCUCCCUACACGUGUUGGCUUUGGUUUGGGCUUUGUGCAGCAGAAUGAGCAUGGAUUAGAAAUCAGGUGAUCUGAAUUCCAGUCACAGCACAACGAGCUGUCUGAGCUUCAGCGAGCUGCUGAACUUGCCAAUUCUCCCUUUUCUCAUCCAGUUAAUGUUGAGAGAUCCUCACAGGGCUGAAAGAGUGUGUAUGAACAUACUUUGAAUCAUGUAAGAUUUCACAUAAGUAGCAGGUAGCCUCAAGAAGGUUUCCCCUGCUGCUGCCUUAGAUGUAUGAGAACUUUGUGGAGGAGGUGGAUGCUGUGGACAAUGGGAUCUCCCAGUGGGCAGAGGGGGAGCCUCGAUAUGCACUGACCACUACCCUGAGUGCACGAGUUGCUCGACUUAAUCCUACCUGGAACCACCCCGACCAAGACACUGAGGUAAGGUGGCCUGGGAGGAGACCCGGAGACCUGUAAGAACCUUGGGUGGGGGGAAAAUGGGAGCAUUUGCUCCUCCUAAGCCCUAGCAAAUUCCAAGUUUGGGCCAGCAUCAUGGUUCUAAUUCUCAUCAUUCCCAGGCAGGGUUCAAGCGUGCAAUGGAUCUGGUUCAAGAGGAGUUUCUGCAGAGAUUAGAUUUCUACCAACACAGCUGGCUGCCAGCCCGGGCCUUGGUGGAAGAGGCCCUUGCCCAGCGAUUCCAGGUAUAGGCCUUGGAGGAGGCAUUAUGGCUUGAGGAUUACUGACUGCCAAUCAACAGGAACUCCUGCUUCUUCUACCCUAAACCCUGGAGUGCAGUGGCAGACAACCUCAACCUCUUAGGCUCAAGCAGUCCUCCCACCUCAGCCUCCUGAGUAGCUGGGACUACAGGCACACACCACCUCACCCAGCUAAUUUUUGUAUUUUUUGUAGAGACAGGGUCUUACUUUGUUGCCUAGGCUAGUCUCAAAUUCCUGGGCUCAACUGAUCCUCCCACCUCAGCCUCCCAAAAUGUUGUGACUACAAACAUGAUCACCAUGCCCAGCCUACCUUAAACCUUCUAGCUAUGCUCUCCCUCUUUCAGGUGGACCCAAGUGGAGAGAUUGUGGAACUGGCGAAAGGUGCAUGUCCCUGGAAGGAGCAUCUCUACCACCUGGAAUCUGGGCUGUCCCCUCCAGUGGCCAUCUUCUUUGUUAUCUACACUGACCAGGCUGGACAGUGGCGAAUACAGUGUGUGCCCAAGGAGCCCCACUCAUUCCAAAGCCGGCUGCCCCUGCCAGAGCCAUGGCGGGGUCUUCGGGACGAGGCCCUGGACCAGGUCAGUGGGAUCCCUGGCUGCAUCUUCGUCCAUGCAAGCGGCUUCACUGGCGGUCACCACACCCGAGAGGGUGCCUUGAGCAUGGCCCGUGCCACCUUGGCCCAGCGCUCAUACCUCCCACAAAUCUCCUAGUCUAAUAAAACCUUCCAUCUCAUAC
ensembl:lncRNA novel protein, readthrough PFDN5-C12orf10